rnacentral:lncRNA from 1 species
GAUAUCUCCAGCAAUUAAUUGAUGAUAUACAUCAUCAUAUUUCAUCCAUUUCUGAGCAAUUAUCGUUGUUCCAAUGGAAUUAAACUCAUCCGGCAGGCUAUCUAAAAUGAAUUCCACUAUUUUACGAUCAGCUAUAUUUGAACCUGUUCCUAGGAGAUUGUCACACAUUGACCUGAUUUGUAACAAAUAUUCUGGAUUUGGCAGGUUAGCUAUCUUCUUGAUUUCUGGAAGAUGAUCCCUGAUUGUUUUGGCGUACACCUCCAUCUGUGGAGAUAAUUUUUCUUCUAAUAUCUUCCAAACAACAGAUGCAAUUUCUUUAUUUUCCAGAAUUGGAUAGACAGACGUCCCAAACGAGGACUCAAUCCAUGAAAUCAUAAGCCAGUUCUUCCUUUACCAUUUUGCAAAAUCUGGCGUCCCUAUUUCUGGAACUGCAACAUUACUAUCAAUGAUGUCUUUAAGCCCAUAAAUUCAUAAAAGAUUCAUUAUCUGGGAUUUCAAGAACAGAUAAUUGUCACUGCUUUCCAACUGAUGAUGUCUUAUGCAUUUUGAAGCAACGUCGUGGAUGAAAAUGUGAUCUGAGCAGCAACGAACAAUGCGAUCUGGGCAGCAACGUGGGCAGUAGCAGACGACGUGUUCUGGGAAGCAACACGGGCAGCAACAAACGAUGCGAUCUAGGCAGCAGUAGCGUGCGGUUUUUUUUUCUUCACCAGACAGAAACGCGAUUUGUAGAUUGCAGACCCUCUUCAACUGAUACCAUCUGAGAGUCUAAAAACUAUAAACGAUAUUGUAUUUUCAAUCAAUCAAUUAUCAACAUAUACUCUACUUAUAUACUACAACCCAACACUAAUAAUCAGUUAACUAACUAACUCAAC